UGAGCUGGGGAGAGGCAAAGGGAACAGCAAGUACAGAGACCUGGGGUUGGAAAGGACCAGGUGUGUGCAGAGUAGUGAAAGAAAGCCAGUGUGACAGCAAUGGAGGGGAGUGACGUGACAGGAGAUGAGGGAAAAAGGCAGGUAGCGGAUUCCUCAGGGCCUUCCUAAGCCGUGGUGAUGAAGUGGACUUUAUUUUAAGAGCAUGGGGAAGUCACUGAGGUAUUUUGAGGAAGGGGGGAAGUUGUGGGAGGAAUAAGUAGCAGAGAGGCCAUGGUGGACUCGGGGAUCAGCUGGACACUGUCGCUGAAGUCCAGAAGACUUGCUCCAAGGAAGGGACAAGGGAGACAGCGAGCAACAGGUGGAUGUAGGCGAUAUUUUGGAGGUGGAACCAGGGGGACUUUUUGACUGUUUAGCUGUGAGGCUUAAAGGAAAGGGAGAAAUCAAGGGUGUUUCCUGUGUUUGGGGUUAAACUAGCAAGAUGGUGAUGGCAGAUAAGCUGACAGAGAAGACCAAGGAGGAGCCCAUCUAAGUCCAUUUUGGACACGUUAAAUUUAAGGUUCCCAGUGGGUGGUUGGAUAUGCGGUCCAUUGGACUUGGCACCUUGCAAGUCCUUAGAAUCCCGACAAGAGUGGCCCCAGAGGAAUGGGAGCGAGGAAGAGGAAGCGAAUGUGGAUGGCCACCUCGAGGAGCUCUGCUGUGAAGGAGAGUUCAUACAAAUUACUGAGAGACGAGCGACUCAAGCCUUGUUCAAUCAUUCACUCAGCAAUUUACUCCAGAAACUAUUCCAGCCCCUCUAAGUUGAGAAAGAAAGAUGAUUCUUCAAUAACAACGAAUUCCUCAAUGCUUGCCCAUGGUGGACUCCCUGAACCUCAAUUUUCCAUCUGUAAAACUGGCAUAGCAAUUCUCAUCUAACAGGGAUGUAACAUUCAAAGGAGAUUAAAGGCCCCUUCUGGCCAAGGCAGGAUAUUCAGGGUUGGCUGCGGCCAGAGAACUGGUCGUUGUCCAGCACUUUCCAUGGUUACUCCCUCUGCCCAUCCUGUCCUCCACUCCCAGAGCCUGAACAGAUUGUCGUCCUGGGGACAGAGACCUGAUGUUGCUGUGAUCCCAGAGGAUUGCCUUGGAUAAUGGAUGCUGCCCUGGAAACGCUUGGAAGGUUAUGUCCUCCCUCUGAGGAUGGCUUCCAGCCAACGGUUGACUGAUGUUGGGAUACAGAAGACAGACAGACCCCUUGCCUCAAGGGGUCCUCCUGAGAGCCCUCCCUUAACACAUCAAUUGCACAAGGAUCCCUGUCUUGGCCUGUGCUUCUAGAGAACCUGACUUAAGGUAAAUAGCUGUGGGAAUACAAGGGAAGGAGAUACCAUUGUCUGGGGGCUCAGAGGAGUCUUUCUGGGGUAGGUCUUCAAGGAUGAGUAGGAGUUUGAUUGUGGGAAAAGACAUUCCAAGCAGAGGAAGAGAACAGCAAGGUAUAACAGUCAUGUACUCUGUCUCAAGAAUGUCAAGCUGUUUUAUUUGGCUGGAGUGCUAAGUGCAUGGGGUGGGGUGGGCUGUGAGCGGCAGGAGAUGCUGACACCAAUUCGUAAAGGCCCAAGUAAGGAGACUGGACUUCAAGCUUUAGAUCUGAAGUAACCCUCCCUGGACCUCUUCCCUUGCUCUUUUGCAGUUGGCUGAGACCUGAGGGACCACCACUUAGAAAUUAAUUGUAAUAUAAAAAGCAUCCUUUGUCAUAUUUCAAGUCAGUGGAAGAAGUGGGGUGUAAAACUCAUGCUCCCAAAUUCCAGCCCAAGGCUUUAUCUAUUGCUCAUAGUAAUGAAAUCCUCUGACCACUAAAAUAAUAUUUUAACCCACUCCUAAGCUGUGGACAUGGAUAUAUCCUGAUUCAUCUAGUCCUCACGUUAUUAAAAUACAUUGUUCUUCUUAACAAUUCCUAAUAAUUAAUAGCAAUUCAGAUUCAUCUCAUAUUUAUUUAGCCUCACUAUAUGUCAGCCUCUUUCAUGUACGUACUCAUUUCAUUCUCACAAGUACCAGUGAAGCAUGUGGUAUUAUUCCAAUGUUCUAGAUAAGAAGCGGAGUCACAGAGAGGUCAGAAAAUGUACCCAAUGGAGAAACUCAGGAUUUUUCCACAUUACUACCGGAGUACAUUUUUUCCUAUGUCAUUUAGUUUUUGUUGCAUAACAAACCACUCCAAAUCUUGGUGGAUUAAAACAACAACAAUUGAUUUAUUUGAUGAUUCUGUGGGUUGGCAAUUUGAGCUGGGCUCAGCUGGGUGGUUUUUCUGCCGAUAGUGGCUGGGCUCACUCAUGCUUCUGUGGUCAGCUGCUGGCUGGCUAGAAAGUUCUAUCUCUGGAGGCUAGCUUCUUGUGGCUGGGGCAAUGGCGGAAAGUGGACCAGGCGUCUCUCCUCAUCCAACAGCCUAACUCAGGCUCGAAGAGCAGCAAGUGAAGACAACUCCAGUGUGUAAGUGCCUUUCAAGCCUCUGUUCACAUUGUAAUGGCUAAUGUCCCACUGGCCAAGUUAUGUGGCUAAGCUCAGAAUCAGCAUGGUAGGUAAGUGGCUGCCCGAGGGCAUGGAUGCAGGGAGGGAGUAAUCUUUGGCUAUGUUUUCAAACUAUCAUGUUCUGUUUUCAAAAACAUUUUUACUAUAAAAAUGUAUAUAUGUUUGAUAUAUUUAUAAAUAUCACAUAUGUAUGUAUAUCAUGUUAGUUUGGAAAAUUGGGGAAAUAUAGAAGAAUCUAAAGAAGGAAAGAAAUCACCUGUAAUGUACAGAGAUAAUCAUUGUUGACCUUUUAAUAUGUUUCCUCCUGUCUUAUGAGCAUAUGAGUGAGUGUAUGACUGUGUGUGUAUACUUUUGUGUGAUAUUUUCCUUUAAAAGAAUGAUAUCAGAACCUGCCUUUUUAAUUGACAUUAUAUUAUGAACAUUUCCGCAUGUCAUCAAAUAAUUCUUGAAAAUACAGCAUCUUUUAAUACUCUAUCAUAUCUCCCCAUCAUGUUUUAUCUAACUUUACCCUAUCAUUUGUUUGUUUUUUGCUGUUUAGGUUGCUUCCAUUUCUUUCUUUUUUUGUUUUUGGUCAUUAUAAGAACAUUCCAUUGAAAAUUCCAGAAUAUAAAUCUUUAUCCACAUUUCUGAUGAUUUUCCUAGUACAGAUUCCCAGAAGUGAAUUACUGGAUCAAAGAAGAUAGCAUUUGUAAGGCUUUCAAUACGCAUUGCUAAAUUGCUUUCCUGGAAUUCACUCUCCCGUGGCCCUGUGGGGAAUGGCCUGCAUUGUGGCACUUUCAAGAGCACUAAGUAUUAUCUUAAAAAGAGGAAAAAGAUUAGUUAGGCAAAAAAUGGUACCUUAUUUUAAUUUGUAUUCCUGGUUGCCAGAAAGGAUAAACGUUUUAGAAAUGCUUAUUGACCAUUUAUAGUUCUUCUGUGAAUGUCUUUUUUCUUGAAAAAAGAUAUGCGUUUUACAUUGAUUUGUAUGAAUUGCCCUGUAUUAAUGUUAUCAACACGUUAUCAUCUAAGUUACAAAAUUUUUUCCCUUUAGGUUGUCAUUUACUUUUUAAUUUUGUUUGAGGAGUGUUUUUUUUUUUUUUUGACAUAUAGGGAUUUAAAAAUUUUCACUGUUGAAUCUAUUUUUCUUUCUUUUUUGGUGACAGUCAUUGCUUUUAGGUUUACAAUGUCAUUUUUGAUCCAUCUCUUAAAAAAUGUCAGACGUAGUGGCUUCGCCACUUAGCAGAACAAUGUUCAGAAAGGCUGUCUGUCUUUGGAACCAGAACUGACAGGUGGAGCUGAUCUCCUGUGGGAUGUUUUCCCCUCCAGUGGAGUCUGGCUGAACUGCCUCCAGGGUCCCUGUUAACUGACACCAGGUUGAUCAGCAAAGGCCCUUGGAGCCUUUGUGGCGUGGCUGUGAGCCCGUCAGGAAAACUGCACGGCACUUACACCUGCGGCUCAUCCUCUCUCUGUCGGCCCUGGCCUCCCGUCAUCCUGGCCAAGAAGCAGUGUGAAUUUGAAUCCCACUGGCUGUGAGACUGAUGCACAACAAUGAGCUGCUUAGCGGGUUGGAGAGCAGGGCCAUCACUGUCUAGUCCCUGUACUUCAAUGGAGCUUCGUGGUGCAACUUGGGAAGUGUUAAAGUGUUGGUUCUUGAUGAACUUUGCACCUGAAUGAGAUCAAGCCAAGGAAUCUGUUCCUGAGCUUUUCCAGGAGCGUGAGGCGAUGGGUCGGUGGCCAUGCAAAACCGUGGGAUAAGAGCUGCAUGCCUUCUGUGCUCAAUAGGAUGGUACUUCCCUGGCUCCUUGAAAGUAGAUGCAGCCAUAUGACUUGUCAUGGACAAUAAAAUGUGAGCAGAAGUGACAUGUGUCAUGUCUGAGCAGAAGUCUCUAGCACCGGCAUUCGGUUCGCCAUUUUGCUUUGCCCUGGCUCAAUAACCUGGAAAGAGGGAAAGGGGCUUCUCUCAGCCUGGGUCCCUGAAUGAGUACCACAUACAGCAGAUCUCCCAGUCGGCCGUGGUGACAUGUAGCAUAAGCAAGACAUAAACCUUUGUUGUUUUAUAUCUCUGGGCAUGUGAGGUUUUUCCCUUGUUAUUGCAGCAGAACCAAGCUUAUUCUGGUUGAUGUCCUACUUGAGGGUAGACACUGAAAGUAGGUGGCUUCAUUUGGCCCACACAGCCUUUAUGGUGCUGGAUUCACAGCUGACACUCGGAUUUCUUUUAUUUCUGAGACUUAUUGAGCAGGUUAUGUGCCUGGCUGAGAAGGUCUGGGUGUGAGGGUGACUGAGCUGUAACACUCCCAUUGGCAGCUGUCCCCCCUGACACCAGGGGCCCACCACUUGUUUGGCUGAUGAGGCUGACGAGGAGAGAGAAAGGCAAGGACAAACAUUUGUUCAGUGUCUACUGUGUGCCAAGAACUCUGCUAGGUACUUGCUCUGUGUUCUCUGUAAUGAUCAUAGCAACCUAUGAAGUUAUUAUUAUUACUUCCCUUUUAUAGAUGAAAAAACGAUAUCUCAAAGAAGUUAUGUAACUUAUUCAAAGCUACAAAGCUAGUAAGGGUCCAAGUUGAGAUGCAGACACAGGCUGAGGAAAUGGACUGUGAAGGGAAAGUCUCUUUCCUUCCCAUCUCUCAGUUAUGUUUCUCUGAAGUGCUGAAUCUCAUUGCGUUAGAUCCAGGAAGCAUUUGCUGACCACUCAGUCUGAAAAGAAUCUGUCCCCCACCUCUGCGUCAUCAUUUUUUCUCGCUGUAUGUUUUCCUUAGUAACUCUUAUUGUUUAAUAUCUGUCUCACGCAAUAUGCUGUAAAUCCUAGCACAAUAAGGACCACGUUGUCUCAUUAACUCUUGGGUGCCCGGGACCUGUUCCAUGUUGGCACACAGGAGGCAUUUAAUAAGUGGUUGCUUAUGUCAGUAAAUAAAGCCUCCUUAUGUUGAUGGAGGAACUCUUGAAGCGGGUAGUGUAGAGGUUAAAAGCACAGACUCUGGAGCCAGCUUACCUGGGUUCGAACCUCAACUUUGCUACUUCCUAGCUGUGUGACCUUGGGGAAGUUACUUAACCCCCUGUGUCUCAGUUUUCUCAUCUGUCGAAUGAGGAUAAUAGUAGUAUCUUUCCUCAUGGUUAUUGUGAGGAUUGAACGAUCUGUAAACAACCUGUAAAGCACUUAGAACAGUGUUCAGCACUUGGUAAGUGCUCGGUGAGUACCAGCCAUUUGUAGGUGUAAUACUGUUGUUAGAACACAUGAGAAAAGGGAUGGUACUGCACUGUUAGGGAGGCUAUAGUAUCUGAAAUAGUUUGGUGCAGUAGAAAGAUCAUGGGAUUUGCAGUCAGACAGACCUGGAGCCCUCCCUCGCCUCUAUGACUUACUAACCAGCUGCCAUAGACUGAAUGUGUCCCCUCCAAGUUCAUAUGUUGAAACCUAAUCCCCAAUGUGGUGAUAUUUGUAGGUGUGCCUUUGGCAGGUGGAGUCCUCAUGAGAGGGAUGACUGCCCUUAUAAAGGAGUCCAGAGGGCUCCCUCCUCUCUUUCAUGUGAGCACACAGCAAAAGGAUGGUCAUCUGUUAACCAGGAAGCGGGCUCUCACCAAACAUUGGGCCUGCUGGCAUCUUGAUCUUGGACUUCCAUCCCCAGAACUGUGAGAAAUAAAUGUCUGUUGUUUAUAAGCUGGCCAGUCUGUGGUAUUUUGUUAGAGCAGCCAGAACGGACUGAGACACCAGGUGAUUUGGGCAAGCCCAUUGCCCGCUCUGAGUUUGUUUUCUUCAUCUGCCUAAGCAAGCACAUAGACUGGCAUCGCUGGAAGGGAGUGAAAAUAUGAAAAAUAAUGCCCAAAUCAGGAGUGACAUACAUGUGUGGCAGAUUUGGUGUGUCUAGGAGAGGAGACUUGGUCUGUGAAAGCCUCCUGCACAGUGCAGGCGAAGUGCCCGUGCGUGAGGAUCUGUAAAUGGUGUCUGAACAAAAGUAUGAAUGAGGGUGGAUAUUGCUGAAUGAAUGCAGGCAAGAGGUGGGUGUUGCCCAUUCAAUUCAGGACUUAAAGGGCUCACCCUGGGGUGAAAGUAGGAGAGAUUCUGUAGGUGACAAGGAUUUCUUGGUGAUUGAGUGAAUUCUAGCAUUGAGAACUGAUCAGAUUUUGAUGAUUUUUCCAGGCACACUGGGUUCAUUUUGCCUCUCUCACGGGGCACGCCUGUGCAUGAACAGCUUUUGCUAAUGUGCUGUAACACGGACCAAUCUCAGGAUCAAGUCUUCCACUUACUACUGACUAUGUAGGAACAAAGAAAUCAAAACCAUUGCUCCUAAAAGAUUCCCCAAUGGCUGCGAUAUUUUGGCUUACCGAGCAUAACUGAAUUAAUUCAUGGUUUUCCUAGAAGAGGAAUUGAAUCCAUCGACCUAUGGCUCUGUCAUGCUUGUUUUGGAGAUAGGCCAAUUGGUCACAUUAAUUCUGGGAGAAAAUUGUUGUGAGUCAGCUUUUGAACCUCACCUGUGCAGUUAAAUGUUGGGUGGUCCUUUUCUCCAGUUGAACAGAUUAAUCUGUUCCUUGUAUAAAGAGAAUUGUGAGCUGAAACAUUACAUCAAACUGCUAGUCUGCACCCUCCACCGUGAAAUAUCAGCUUUAUUAGUUCCAUUCUUCAAGACAUUGUGAAAUAAUGAAAAGCAUAUUGUGUAACCAAGAUAUGGCAGAUUUCAAUGCACAUAUUUCCAAGUGACCGUCUUAGUUUUCUAUAGAGACUGUGGGGAAAUUAUGGAUCAAAAUUUUGUGAGCAAAGGUUGGCAUUUCUUGAGAUGAUGAAGUGAUCUUCUGAAGUUGUUUGAACUAGAAAAUAACAUUCCCUCCCUUCUCAAGACCAUCCUAUUGUCACAAUAAACAUGGCAGAAGGUACAGUGAAUGCAGAUACUUUGGGAGGAGAUGGAGGAGGAAGAUUGGAGGACAUCCUAGAUUGUUUAAUUAAAAAAAAACCUUCUAUUGUUUCACUUUUUACCUCCUUUUUAUAAAAUAUUGGAAUGUCAAACUUAGAAGAAACUUUGUAAGUCAUUUAAUCCAACCUAACAUUGGGUUUCCUCUAGAGCAUUCAUGACUCACAGGUCUUCUAACCUUGACUUGAAGUUCAGUGGUUGGAGCUUGUUACCAAACUUCUUAAUCUCAAGUUCGUGUCCCCCGUGUGCGGUAAGCCAAACACUGAGACAUCGGCGCCUGGAGAUGGAGAAGAUUUAUUUGAAUUGGCAAAGAUGAGAAGGUGGGAGCAUGGGUUCACUCAGAUACGCCUUAAAAAGAGUAGAAAGUGAGGAUUUUAUAGAGCUAAGUGGCUUGGCAGGAGGAGCAUUGGAGAAGCAAAGGGGUCACUCUGCAUAAGCCCGUGGGCAAGCUGGGGGCCAGCCAUUGGUGAUCGCAGCCUCCUGGAAGGAAUUCUCUUUCUUCUGCUAAACAAGCUCACAAAUCCUUGAGACUUGAGUCGCCCCUUAAGUUAAACAAGAAAACAGCAAAUUGACCAGAUUCACCUGUCUGUGUUGAGGACAAGGUCAAAAGGAAACCAUGUUCUUAUUGACUAUCUACAGUGACCCUCAGCAUGGCUUGCCAAGCAGUGCCAUGUCCGCACCCAGGAUUUGAACCAGCGAACCCUGGACCGCUGAAGCAGAAUGUGUGGACUUAACCACUGUGCCACCUGGCCGGCCCCUAUAAUGCUUCGAUUAUAAUGAGGCAGAAGCAUUUGAUUUUGGUUUUAGUUAAAGUGAAUUGAGAAACAAGUUACGAAUGAACACACAGCCUGGAAACAAAUGGACUUGUGUGCCUGCAGAUUUGAGAUGCCUAGAUCCCUAAGCUUCGAAGGAAAACAGGCGAAGCUGAAUGGUUUCCAAAUGGAAUCAAUUCUCAGUGAACCAGAAGAGUCAAGAGGCUCAUUUGAAGUCAGGGCAAUUGCCCUGAGCGGAGCUGGGCAGAUCCGGGUCACGUCCCCAGCUUGGAUCGUCUGCUUCCUUCUCACAGAGCCUUCCUUGACCCUCCAGGGGAGAGAGGUGCCCUCCAUUGUGUUCCCGUAGCAUCUUUUUCUCACUUCCAUCAGUGCUCCUGUUAACCAUAAUGGACUGUUUAUGUAUUCAUCUACAUACCCAACAAACAUCAAUGGAACUGCCUACUAUGCAUUGUACACUGUGCCACGUGCUGGCAAGCAAUUCUGGGAGCCUGGAGGAGGGGAACAUAGCUCAGUCUGGGAGAGUCUAGAACUGAAGUUCUUUUUAGCAGGCAACGCUUGAAUUGAGUCUUGAAGGAUAAGUCACUUUAAGAAGAGGAUUGGAAAGAUAUGAAUCCACAAGAGCAAAAGACACAGAAUUAUGGAGAUGAGAAGUCCUAAAAUCAAGGCAUCAGCAGGGCUGCAUUCCUUCUGGAAGCUCUCAGGACACCUGUGAUGACCUUUGCCCGGGUGGAAUCCAGGAAAAUCUCCCCAUCUUAAGGUCCUUAACUGAGUCAACCUGAAAGUCCCUUUUGCUGUGUAAGGAAAACUGGCUCUGAGUGACAGCUCCACCAUUCUGUAAUGGUAGACUUGAGAAAAUCACUUAUCUUCUCAGUAAAGCGGGGCAACAAAACCAACUUCAGUGAGUUAUUGUGAAGAGGAAAUACACACGAAGUACCUAGUAAUUCAAGAAAUUUUGGUGAGGAGCCAAAGUAUUGGGGCAGUGAACCUGUUGAUCUGGCUCAGGGAAAUCUGGUGAGGGUAGGAUCAGAGCCGGCAUCUUCCCACGCUUCUUCACAUCUCUUUCACACCUCAAAACCAAAACAUACACAGAAGGGCAAGGAGUGGGUCUAGAUUUCUCCAAAAGGACAGUGGGCAUUAGCUUUGUGGACUCUGUUCCGACGCUGAGCAGGGAGUUCAAAAGGAAGACAGUCCUUUGCUAACCACAGAGAGCUGAGAUGCCCCAGGCACUGGGUCUGUGGAGAAGAGACUUAAUUGGAGUCUCAGGGAUGGCCCUCCACACGUGGAGGGGCAACUGGGUCUUCUCUCUGGGAUCUUUCCUGGCCUCAGUGGCCACAGAGAAUAAAGGUGGUGAAGAGGAGAUAGGAGGAAGUGCUAGGUAGGUCCCAGUGUCUGUCCAUCCAUCCAUCCAUCCAUCCAUCCUCCUUUUAACAGUUAUUGAGGCUUAUUCCAUGUUAGGCAUUGGGCGUAGGGCUGAGCAUACAGCAUGGAUCUCAAAGGUCAUUGUCUUUGCAAAACCACUCUCAGGCUCUCUCUAUCAAGUAAUUCUGGUCACUUUUCUUCACAGAAUUUUUCACUCUCUGAAAUUACAUUCUGUAUUUUUAUUGCAUGUCUCCUCCGCUGGAACACCAGCUCCAGGAGAGCAAGGACCUUGUUUGUCUGGCUCAUAGAUCGGUUCCGGGCACUACCACAGUGUCUGGCACACAGUGAUCGAACAAGCUGACUUCAGAGGGAUUAAUGGCGCUGACCCAGUGCAGGGAGUUCAGGAACCAUAUUGUAAAAGUGGCAGAGGGAGCUUCACCUGGAGAGGAGGCUGUACUGCUCUGGUAAUCUGGUGGCAGCUCAGAGGGAUGAAGACAGCAGAGUGGAGUUUCCUCAGAUGUUCCAACUGAGAUCACCCGGGAUCCACUGACAGCUGGCUGACCGAGGAUGUGCGAAUGAGGCCACGCAACGCAAGUGUUUCCCCGUGGGAAUGAGAGCCGAUGGAAGGCAAGGAUGAAACCAGGUCCUCUCUGGGGCCUCAGAUCGACCCUGGCAUCGAGAAGGCACUCAGGAAGUGUUUGCUGAAUAAAUACAUGAAUGAAAGAAUGUCUGCAAACAGAACUUUUCCUUUCUUUUCUGUGACUAAGGCCCUCCUUGUACGUUACAUCCACUGGCUGAGUCUCUGAAUUUUCCCCAUGAGUGCGAGUCUCUGCCUAGGUAAGUUGUCUGGCACGUCAACCUGGCCCCUGCCUUCUGCCAUCAUAACUUCCUGGACCUGCCUGCGUGUCGCGCUGUCUGCGCUCCUGGAACCUCCAUUGCUCAGCCUUGCCAUGUGUUACCUGUGGGGUCCUCCCUGGCUGAUAUACCCCUCCUGGGAAGAAGAGUAAAGAGGCAGGGCUUAGGAGUAUGCUGCACAGCCUUCGUAUCAGAAGGGAGGUGGAGCCUUCACACCUGGCCUGUAACUGUGAAAACCAUGAGACCCCAGAAUCUCACCUCUGUGACUCUCUCCUUGUUGGCACCAACUAUAUGACACUUUAAAUGCAAAGACCUGUGGGUUCAUCUUCAGAGGCAUCGUGGGAACAGAGUAGCUGGGAAGAACCUUACCCCCUUACAGCAGGGCUGGGUGGGGCGCCAGGGCUGGCCCAGGAGGAGAGGCCCCUCAGGGAACACCAUGGGUGGUACCAGUUUCAGAGAGGAAAGAGAAUGAGAUUGAGGCCUCCUGAGGCCUGAGCUGAGAAUAAACCGGGGGUGUGAGACCAGCCCAGUCCCAAGAGAGAAGCCUGGGGCUGGACAGGGAGAAAGCUGUGGACUCCAGCAUGCCUCCUGGGAUUGAGACCUCCUCUCCUCACCCUCCCAUCCUUACCCUUGUCCUGAGGAUGAGACCCAGAGGCACAGCCUGGAGUCCAUUCUCCCACGCAGGAACUGCUCCCCAUCCUCUACGGCCUUCCCUUGGAAGAGGAGCGCUGGGGUGCAGCUAUUUCACUUGGAAGCUCUCUAGCUCUGGGAAAUUCCCUUCCCUCAUCCAUCCAUAUAUAGGCUUGGUCUGGGCAGUGAGGAAUGACAUGUAUGGGGUCCAAACAGUGGGGUUUAGGUCUUUGUUUCCAAGCAGUGGGGUUUAGGUCUUUGUUUCCAUAGUCACUAAGGAACAAUAGACACCGGGGGAGUGGAGAAGGGAGGGAGUGAAAUCACAAUGUCGUAAUAGGAUGUUCUCAGAGGAGACUGCAUUCCCUGCCUCAGACUCACAGGAGACGGCAGAGAUUGGGCCAUGAUCGAUGGCAACAGCAUUGCCACUCCAAUGUGGGGAUGACCCCUGGCUGGCUGUGGUCACCCGGGCAGUCCAGAUAGACUUGAGCAAAAAGACAGAGUUAUAGGUGGACGAUCCUGCUCCUCUCAAACGAGGCAGAGUUCAGAGAAGAGGAGGGACCUGGCAGUGCUCUGUAAUGGAAGGAAAUGGAAGAUAAUUUCUCUCUGAUACGUUGCGGAUGCCGAAUGCCCCUGGGAGCGCCUAGAAGAGGCCUAAUUGCCUGAUGAAGUUAAUGCACCUCUUAGACCUGGAGAAUGAUGGGCUUCCCUCCUCUGUGUUGAUUUGGAGCAAGGGCCUUCUCUAAAAGAGUUGACAAAAUUGCACCCAUAAGUCUUUGCUUUCGUGGCCACUUUAAACUACUCUGCAUUGCCUGGUUUUGUCUAGCCUAGGGUUUUAAAACAUUUUGAAAUCACAGAUUCUCUAUAAUUUAAAAAAGAAAGGACAAAAAAAAAGAUUCUGAUGAGCCUAUGGUAAUAAACAAGAUUUGCUCUAAUUUAGAACCCGGUUGGAGGAAACGUUUAAAAUGGACAUGUGGAGAUUCUGCAUUAUGGAACUGAGGAAAUAAGCACAGGGUGGGUUUGGGGAGACGGACAUGAGUCAAAACGCCACUGAUCGCCUGACCUCCAUUAGGCCCUAUUCUGACUGCUGGACAACAGUGACCUGUCGGGUCUCUUGGAAUUUGUAUCAGUUUAGAGAGAAUGUCCAGUAAUCGCUGAGAAGUCUGCUUAUUUCCUUUCCUCCAGUGCAUAGUCACCCUAGUAAAAGGCUGUAGGUCCUUUUGGGAAGGGCUGGGAAAAAGAUGAAUGGUAUAAAUUUUUGGCAGUGUAGCACGGUCCUUCCUCAAGGGAACUGGCCUUCAUUCAAGGGGCUUGUGUGUGUAAACUGGCUCAAGUUGGGAAUUGAUUGAGGGGCCAUGACUCUGUUUUUGAUGAUUCAGAUUGGACUUCUGUUUAUUCUGCCUAGAACUCUUCCGUGUAUGCAGAUCAAGUAAAAAUUUAGUAGACUGUCAAUCUGUUUCUCUUCUUAAGGACAUCGUGAUUCCAUUAGCUAGCACCAUAGUUCUCUGUGAGUCAGACUAUUCUGGUUACUGCUUUGACUCUGACGUCCACUGAGGUAGCCAUGCCCACCUUCUCUUUGGUGAUUAGGUGCUGCCACUUGACCCCUGCCACCCUGGGAUCCAGUUGCCCCCAUUGCAUCUAAAGAUCCCAGUUCAGUGGCCACGGUUCCCAUGGUAAUAUCUGACCUACAGAGAAGAGUGACCACAGAAGACUUUAGACGUGCUGGGGCUCCCCCAACACAUUUGUUUCUCAUGGUUGUGGUGAAGUUCUGUCCUCUGGACCCUUUUCGGUUGGAGGAGUAGCUCUUGGGUGACAAAUUCACUCUAACAUUCCAAUCUUCCUAAGCCUUUGCAUAUCUUCUUCUCUUGUGCACCAAGGUAGUUCUGGCAUUUCAACUUCCUUUAGUCUAGGUCACCUAUGGUCCAUGUUUCAGCCAACCAACCAAAGUGUUAGAGCCCUUCCUAAUGCCACAGCUUCACCUCUGAACCCAGCAUCUCUGCUUGGUGGCUCCCUAUCAUAAUUUGGCCUGAUCCAACUUUAUGUUCUUUCCAUCAUUAUCCCACACCCUUCAAGUCCAUUCCCACCUGCGAUCCAUACGUUCUGUAUGAAUAAAUUGGAAAAAGUUAUAAUUAUUGAUGUAGUAGAUUGGGAAUGGUAGAUGUAAGGGUUCUAAGGCUUCUUUCCUUUUUAUAUUUCUUUGUUUUGGUCAUAGAAAAGCAAAUCUAGUGAACUGUGUCUAGAGCCGCAGUGGAGUUCAUGGCACGGCUGGUGUCUAUCGUGCCUGGAAACAAGCGCUGAUUUAGAGGGGAUUAGAGCCAUUUGGAGAGCGAGGAUGAAACUGGAACUCACUUCAGAGAUAGCAUCUUCCUGCAAAGUUACUUUAAAAAAUAAUAGUUUCACACAAUAUGGCUAAAACCUAAUUUGUUUUGCAAAAGAGGAAAUCGAGUAGGGUGACAUUAAAGCAUGAGUUUCCACAGCAAGUACAUGUUCAAAUGCAAGUAUUAGCUGUGUCGACUCAGGUCAAUUUCUCAUCUGAAAAAGUAUGAUUUUUAUGGUGUACCCAUGUAUUGAUUUUCUAGGACUGCCAUCACAAAAUACCACAGACCGGGUACCUUAAACAACGGAAAUUCAUUUUCUCACAAUUCUGGAGGCUGGAAGGGUUGGAUUCCUCUGGGGCCUCUCUCCUUGGCUUGUACAUGGCUGCCCUCUAGCUGCUUGUCCACAUGGUCAUCCCUCUACACAUCUGCAUCCCUGGUGUCUCUGUGGAGUCUUACCUCCUCUCCUUAUAAGGCCACCAGUCAUUGGUGGGCCCUAAAGGUCUCAUUUUAACUUAGUCAUCUCUUUAAAGGCCUUAUCUCCAAAUACAGUCACAUUUGGAUGCACUAGAGGUUAGGACUUCAACGCAUGAACUUGGGGGAAUACAAUUCCCACAACUCACCAUACAGGUGGGGUCAUUGUAAGGAUUAUCUACAUGAAAAGGGUCACACAGAAAUUCCUUUAAAAAAAGUGAUAAGCAUUUUUACUCUUCUCAAUAAAAGCCCACAGGACCCUAUUUAGUUUAUGUAAGAUGUGAACCCAGUUUGAAAAAGUUCAGUGUAGUCGUUUUAUAAGUGUGAGAAGUUUCCAGCAUGCUCUUUAGUUCACUUCAUUCUGCAAAGUCUGCAGGAAUGAGCAGACUCCCCUCAGUCACCCUGGCUGUGUAUUUAUUGGAUGAACUUGGGCUUGUGACAGCAGAUCCUGACAAAGCUGUUCCAAUGACAACUGUUAGGAAAAGGCUGCUCCACCAUAGGAAGGGAAUAGAUAGGACCUAAGGAGUGUCAAUUUCUCGAGGAAGAAAUGGGUCUUUGGACAAGAAACCAGAAGUGCAGAAGUGGGCCCAAGGACUUGCUUUGUACUUUGGGGAAUGAGGAAAUCUAAAAAUUCACUCUUGGUAAUGAGCUGUUAAAG